rnacentral:rRNA from 1 species
UCUUAUACACAUCUAGAUGUGUAUAAGAGACAGGAUCUCGUCUGAGCUCAGAAACUAAGCAGGGUCAGGAUCCGUUAAUACUUGGAUGGGAGACCGCCUGGGAAUCCCGGGUGCUGUAGGAU